rnacentral:rRNA from 1 species
UCGAACGGUGAAGCCUUUCGGGGUGGAUCAGUGGCGAACGGGUGAGUAACACGUGGGCAAUCUGCCCUGCACUCUGGGACAAGCCCUGGAAACGGGGUCUAAUACCGGAUAUGACCUGCUCUCGCAUGGGGGUGGGUGGAAAGCUUCGGCGGUGCAGGAUGAGCCCGCGGCCUAUCAGCUUGUUGGUGGGGUGAUGGCCUACCAAGGCGACGACGGGUAGCCGGCCUGAGAGGGCGACCGGCCACACUGGGACUGAGACACGGCCCAGACUCCUACGGGAGGCAGCAGUGGGGAAUAUUGCACAAUGGGCGGAAGCCUGAUGCAGCGACGCCGCGUGAGGGAUGACGGCCUUCGGGUUGUAAACCUCUUUCAGCAGGGAAGAAGCGCAAGUGACGGUACCUGCAGAAGAAGCACCGGCUAACUACGUGCCAGCAGCCGCGGUAAUACGUAGGGUGCGAGCGUUGUCCGGAAUUAUUGGGCGUAAAGAGCUCGUAGGCGGCUUGUCGCGUCGGAUGUGAAAGCCCGGGGCUUAACUCCGGGUCUGCAUUCGAUACGGGCAGGCUAGAGUUCGGUAGGGGAGAUCGGAAUUCCUGGUGUAGCGGUGAAAUGCGCAGAUAUCANGAGGAACACCGGUGGCGAAGGCGGAUCUCUGGGCCGAUACUGACGCUGAGGAGCGAAAGCGUGGGGAGCGAACAGGAU